rnacentral:rRNA from 1 species
CCCGUGGUAGCAAAAUAGGGAGUCGGACCUGCCCGGUGAAAUUUUUUUAACGGCCGCGGUACUCUGACCGUGCAAAGGUAGCAUAAUCAUUUGCCUUAUAAUUGAAGGCUGGUAUGAAUGGUUUGACAAGAAUGAAGCUGUCUCUUCAUAAUUUGGUAGAAUUUUAUUUUGAGGUGAAAAAGCCUUAGUUUAAUUAAUAGACAAGAAGACCCUAUCGAGCUUAAGAGGACUUAGUAGAUGUGAGGCAUAUCAGUAGAAAGAGCAUAGCUGCUAAAAUUUUUGGUUGGGGCGACUGAGGAACAUUAAAAGCUUCCUUUAACGUAAGUUUACGUACGGGUGUUGAUCCAGGGUUAAUGAUUAAAGGAAUUAGUUACCGUAGGGAUAACAGCAUUAUCUUCUUUGAGAGUUCUUAUCGAAAAGAGGGUUUGUGACCUCGAUGUUGGACCAGAAUGUCCUGAAGAUGCAGAAGUCUUUAAGGGUUGGUCUGUUCGACCAUUAAAAUUCUA